GACGAACGCUGGCGGCGUGCUUAACACAUGCAAGUCGAACGGUGACGAGGAGCUUGCUCCUCCGAUCAGUGGCGAACGGGUGAGUAACGCGUGAGUAACCUGCCCCAGACCCUGGGAUAACAGUUGGAAACAGCUGCUAAUACCGGAUACGAGACGGAGAGGCAUCUCUACCGUCUGGAAAGAUUUAUCGGUCUGGGAUGGACUCGCGGCCUAUCAGCUUGUUGGUGAGGUAAAGGCUCACCAAGGCGACGACGGGUAGCCGGCCUGAGAGGGCGACCGGCCACACUGGGACUGAGACACGGCCCAGACUCCUACGGGAGGCAGCAGUGGGGAAUAUUGCACAAUGGGCGAAAGCCUGAUGCAGCGACGCCGCGUGAGGGAUGACGGCCUUCGGGUUGUAAACCUCUUUCAGCAGGGAAGAAGCGAAAGUGACGGUACCUGCAGAAGAAGCACCGGCUAACUACGUG
rnacentral:rRNA from 1 species